UACGGAGGAUGCGAGCGUUAUCCGGAUUUAUUGGGUUUAAAGGGUGCGCAGGCGGUCUGUUAAGUCAGCGGUCAAAGCCCGGGGCUCAACCCCGGCCCGCCGUUGAAACUGAUGUUCUUGAGUGGGCGAGAAGUAUGCGGAAUGCGUGGUGUAGCGGUGAAAUGCAUAGAUAUCACACAGAACACCGAUUGCGAAGGCAUCUCACGAAUCCGCUAUUGACGCUGAUGCACGAAAGCGUGGGUAUCGAACAGG
rnacentral:rRNA from 1 species